GUCGUAACAAGGUUUCCGUAGGUGAACCUGCGGAAGGAUCAUUACCGAGUGAGGGCCCUCUGGGUCCAACCUCCCACCCGUGUUUAUUUUACCUUGUUGCUUCGGCGGGCCCGCCUUUACUGGCCGCCGGGGGGCUCACGCUCCCGGGCCCGCGCCCGCCGAAGACACCCCCGAACUCUGUCUGAAGAUUGCAGUCUGAGUGAAAACGAAAUUAUUUAAAACUUUCAACAACGGAUCUCUUGGUUCCGGCAUCGAUGAAGAACGCAGCGAAAUGCGAUACGUAAUGUGAAUUGCAAAUUCAGUGAAUCAUCGAGUCUUUGAACGCACAUUGCGCCCCCUGGUAUUCCGGGGGGCAUGCCUGUCCGAGCGUCAUUGCUGCCCUCAAGCCCGGCUUGUGUGUUGGGCCCCGUCCCCCGAUCCCGGGGGACGGGCCCGAAAGGCAGCGGCGGCACCGCGUCCGGUCCUCGAGCGUAUGGGGCUUUGUCACCCGCUCCGUAGGCCCGGCCGGCGCCUGCCGAUCAACCCCAAAUUUUUAAUCCAGGUUGACCUCGGAUCAGGUAGGGAUACCCGCUGAACUUAAGCAUAUCAAUAAGCGGAGGA
rnacentral:misc_RNA from 1 species